rnacentral:rRNA from 1 species
AGCGAACGUUAGCGGCGCGCCUAACACAUGCAAGUCGCACGAGAAACGGAGCAAUCCGCGGUACAGUGGCGCACGGGUGAGUAACACGUGGAUGACCUUCCCUGGAGUGGUGGAUAACCUGCCGAAAGGCGGGCUAAUACAGCAUGGGACCACGACGCUUUGGCGAUGUGGUGAAAGCGGGCCUCUAUAUAUAAGCUCGCGCUCCGGGACGGGUCCGCGUCCCAUCAGCUAGUUGGUGAGGUAACGGCUCACCAAGGCAACGACGGGUAGCUGGUCUGAGAGGAUGGCCAGCCACACUGGAACUGAGACACGGUCCAGACUCCUACGGGAGGCAGCAGUGGGGAAUCUUGCGCAAUGGGCGAAAGCCUGACGCAGCGACGCCGCGUGGGC